GGCGGCGCGGCGGGCGAGGGCGGGCGGUGGCAGUGGCAGUGGGCCAGUGGCACAGUGCAGGGUGGGUAAGGCGACCCACGUUCAUCGCCUUUAUCUUGGUAUCUCCGCUGUCUCCUUGCCUCUUGCCCAGCACCGGCCAGGACGUGUGUGUAGGGCUGCCCGGCGUGCACCAAGGUUCACCAGAAGCAAAAUGUCACCUACAGGAGACAUGAAGCAGGCUGUCCAGCGUGCCCGGGAUGCCUUUAAGUGCGGCACAACUCUGAGCCUUGAGUUCAGGAAGAGGCAGCUGAAGGCCCUGAGGCGAAUGUAUGAGGAGAAUGAGGGAGCCUUGUGUGCAGCAUUGGCUAAAGACCUGAAGAAGCCCAAGCAGGAGGCCAUACUGCUGGAGAUAAACCUGCUAAAGGAUGACAUCAAUCACAUCCUGGCACGUAUUGAUGACUGGGUGAAGCCAGAAAAGAUCCCUACCAAUGUGCUGACCAUGUUUGACAAGCCAAUGGUGUACCACGACCCCUACGGUGUUGUGCUGGUGAUGGGUGCCUGGAACUACCCAGUACAGCUAGCCCUCCUCCCUGUCUCGGGAGCCAUAGCUGCUGGUAACUGUGUCAUCAUCAAGCCAUCGGAGGUCUCACCAGCCACAGCAGAAACCAUUGCUGCACUUAUUCCCAAGUACUUGGAUAAGGAGUGUUACCAUGUGGUGUGUGGAGGCAUACCAGAGACUACUGAGCUGCUCAAGGAACGCUUUGACUAUAUCUUCUACACCGGUUCACCAACUGUGGGCAAGAUAGUGAGGGAGGCGGCCAACAAGUAUCUGACCCCCACCACCCUCGAGCUGGGAGGGAAGAGUCCAGUGUAUAUCGAUGACAGUGUGGACAUGGAUAUGGCCGUCAAGCGCAUUCUAUGGGGGAAGUGCAUUAACCUAGGGCAGACCUGCAUUGCACCCGAUUAUGUUCUGUGCUCCAAGGCGGUGCAAGAAAAGUUUGUGGCCAAAGCCAAACAAAUCCUGGAUGAGUGGUACGGCCCCAACCCCAAGGCCUCCCCAGACCUCUGUAGGAUAGUGUCUGAGAAGCAUCUUGACCGCAUUGCUGAGUACCUGAAGGAAGGAACUGUGGCUGUUGGGGGAGAUGUGGACAGGGAGCAGCUGUACAUCGCACCGACCAUCCUCACUGACGUCUCCCCCAAGAACAAGGUGAUGAUGGAGGAGAUCUUUGGGCCCAUCUUGCCCAUUGUCAAUGUGGAGUCUGCUCAUGAUGCCAUCAGCUUCAUCAACUCAAGACAUGGGGAACCCCUCACGUGUUAUGUGUUCUCAACCUCAGUCAAGGAUCAGCAAGCCUUAAUCCAGGGUGUCCAGACAGGCUCCAUGUGUAUCAAUGAUUGUAUUGUCCAUUUCUCCAUCCAUGACUUGCCAUUUGGAGGUGUUGGCAACAGUGGCAUGGGCUCCUACCAUGGCAAGGCCUCCUUUGACACCUUCACCCACCGCAAGUCCUGCCUCAUUCGCAACUACAACAAGAUUGCAGAGACCAUUGGCAAGAUGAGGUACCCACCUUACAGUGAGACCAACAUGAAGAGACUCUCCAUUUUGCUCAAAGAGAUGAACUUCCCCAGCUUCAAGAUACUCUCCUAUGUUCUGGCAUUCGGACUUGGUGUCGCCUCUGUCUUCAUUGGCCGUGAGAUUGCCAAGGGUGCACUGCGAGGGUGGUUAAAUCGUACACUGGAUUCAGCCAUGGUACUAUUUUGGUCCAUCCAGAGAUAAAUCUUUAACAGCACAUUAACUUGCUCUUUCUCGCUUUAAUCAUGAAUUCAAGCUGUGGGUCAUGACGAUGAUUGAAGAUGAAGGUAUAAGACAACAGUGAAUGGUUUACAAAGCAGCAGAGAACCUUGCUGUCACCAUCAGGGAAAAAAGAGUGACUGUUUUGUGAAUGCAGUGAUAUUGUGUGUAUGUUGCCAGUUUUGUUGAAGCACAAUAAUAAAGAAAAAAUAUUUACUUGCUUACUUUAGUGUCAAGUUGUUAGAUAAUUGCAGCAGCAUUAUUCUUUAUUGCAUAAUGGGGCAUAGUUUUGUAGGUUAGUUUAUAUUUUUAAUCAUAUUUGCAUUGUGGUCAUUAAAGGUUGUAGUAUUCAGCUUAACUAUUUGUAUACGUAUCAAAUGGGGGUUACAAUAAAGGUUAUAUUAUUUAGUUUAGCUUAGUUUGUGUGUGGGGCAGGGGGGAUGCAUGGCUGCAUACAUGUGUGCAUGCAUGCACACACAACAUUGUAAGUGAGGCACCAGGGACCAGUCAUACUUAAAAGAUUAGGGACCUUCCACUCAUCCUUUUAAACUUUAAAGGGAUGAAUGGAAGAAGAUACCUCAAAAUGUUUGCAUUCAUGAUUUUUUAGUGCCCACUGUUUAGACAUGUUUGUAUGUUACUCAGAUUGAAUCUUAAUGAAUAGUUACCCUUGUAAGCUUAUGCAACUAUCUUUACUCUGUGCUCUAUUGUUAACUCUUUGAAUACAGAAGUUUAUCUUUCCAGCA